rnacentral:tRNA from 1 species
GGGUAGUGUAGUGGUUUGAACACUGGACUAUGACUCUAGAGACCAGGGUUCAAUUCCCAGAUCGUCCA